AUAGCGUAUAUUAAAGUUGUUGCCGUUAAAAAGCUCGUAGUUGAACCUUGGACCUGGCUGAUCUGUCCUCCUAAUCGAGCGUACGGAUUCGGUCGGGUCUUUCCUUCUGGGGAACCCUAUGCCCUUUACUGGGUGUAGCGGGGAACCAGGACUUUUACCUUGAAAAAAUUAGAGUGUUCAAAGCAGGCCUUUGCUCGAAUACAUUAGCAUGGAAUAAUAGAAUAGGACAUCGGUUCUAUUUUGUUGGUUUCUAGGACCGCUGUAAUGAUUAAUAGGGAUAGUCGGGGGCGUCCGUAUUCAAUUGUCAGAGGUGAAAUUCUUGGAUUUAUUGAAGACGAACUACUG
rnacentral:rRNA from 1 species